ensembl:misc_RNA RN7SKP281 RN7SK pseudogene 281
GGAUGUGAGGGCGAUCUGGCUGCAACAUCUGUCAGCCCAUUGAUUGCCAGGGUUGAUUCGGCUGAUCUAGCUGGCUAGGCGGCUGUCUCCUUCCCCCCUCACCGCUCCAUGUGCGUCCCUCCCGAAAGCUGCGCGCUCUGUGGAAGAGGACGACCAUCCCUGAUAGAGGAGGGCCGGUCUUCCGGUCUUCUGGUCUUCCGGUCUUCCGGUCUUCCGGUCUUCCGUCAAGGGUAUAUGAGUAGCUGCGCUCUCUACUAGAACCUCCAAGCAAGCGCUCAGGAAUUGGCAACACGGAGAAGGUAAGAAACUUUCCCAAGGACAGUAGACACCUUGGGUUUGCUCUGGGCAGUCU